rnacentral:lncRNA from 1 species
GAAAGAGGCUUGAGUUCUUAAUCAUUGAUUUUAUGUUUGCAGAGAUAUUAAAUUGCUUCCUCUUAUUUUAUUUCAGGAGGUCCCCAACAUUGGGUGAGCUCCAAAAUAAUAUUCCUCUUAUUAUUAUUAUGUGUCUUCUAUUUGUUUCAUAACAUUUGCAAACUUCCUUUUCUUUCCAUUUAUAUUUUCUUUCCUUUUAACUCCUCAUUUCACCAG